AUGCAUUAGUGGCCAUUUUGGUGUUCAUCUUGCCGAAUGUUGAAGAAAGAAUACCCAUGGAAGCAUUUUAGGUUUCGCUACAUUCAUAGCUAGAUUAAGAUCAAGAAAAGAGGAAAUCAGAAUUGGAUCGGGGGAAAUCAACAGUGAUCGAAUAGUCGUUCCAGUCUGUUUGUCUUCGUCUGAGGUAAGUUCAUAAGUAAAUAAUUGCCGGUAAUUUGAAUAUAUAUGUAUUAUAAAUGCUGAAUUAUUUUAUGCGUGGGAGAAUUGUUUAUGAGUUGAUACGAUUGAAUUAAAACAUCUAAUAGCCCCGUACGAACCAUAGGAUUUUGAUAUGUGAUUUUGUGUAAGACCACGUCUGGGACGUUGGCAUCGAUUUGAGAUUUACGUGAUAUAGAAUUGAUUUCUCUAUUUUAUUUAAAUACAAGUAUUGCAUAGAAUUGGGUAGAAAAGUAUAAACGAAAGCAAGACUCGAUUGAGAAGCUGUUAUUUCAUUUUAUCAAUUCAUGAUAGUUGAUAAAAUCAUAUAUACAAUUCGACUGUAAAGUCAUAUAAUUAUAAAUUGGAAGGAUAUAUUUCAUUACACAGAUAAAUAUAAUUCUAAUGAUUAAAAUUAAUUAAACUAAGUCUAUGUACUUUUUAUUAAUUUAUUUAAAUUUGAAAAUAAUUAAAAUUAAAAACUACCCAUAGUAAUUGUUAAGUUUUUAUCUCUACUAAAUUUUGGUUUAUUGAGUUAGAGUGACACUAUGACUCGCUCUCAUAUAUAUAGAUUAUAGAUGAUAGAUUAUAUAUAUUAUAUAUAACGCAUUUGAUUAAAUUGGUGUCACGAGUUAAUUAGACACUAAUUCGAAUCGUAAAAUAAUUAAAAUACCUUUACUUUAAAAAAUAACUAAUAUUAUUUUAAUAUUAAUAUAAAGGUAUUUUUAUCUUUUCAUACUUUUAUUUAAUAUUCAAAUAAAACAACUUAAAAAUAUUACUUAAGAAUCAAACACAAAACCAGUUGAAAUAUUUUUAUAAAUAUACUUUUAAUAUAAAAUAUUUCCGUUUGUGAUAAAGUCUAGUAGAUAUAGAGUUUCUCUAUUUUAUUUAAUGAAAUGAACUUUAUAGCUUUUAUUUCAUUUUGUUUGUUUUAUUUUUGUCAAUUCAUUUAAAUUUAUAAAAUUAAGAGUGAGUAAAACUUGAUUCGAUUCGAAAAGAUUGAAUUUUAAGUUAAUUGAAUCGAUUUAAAUUUUACAAUUUGAAUUUUAUAAAAAAUCACAAUUAAAAUUAUAUACAAGAAAGAAAUGGCGUUCAAUUAUAUAAAAAAUCACAAUUAAAAUCACAAUAAAAUGAUCACCCACAAGGCUGAAGCUCACGGGGUUUGGUAUCCCAUCAAGCUCUAAGAAGCCGAGCUGAGGUAGGUGGAUCACUUUCUCUUCGUCCUUACUCACAUUUCCCUCAUCUCCUUCAAACACCUGCGAGAGUAAUUGGGAACAAACAUUUCAAGUUUUCACACCUCUUGAUUGUAAUCUGCUUCAAAUUAGGGAAGCAAAUAGGAUGGAGAUGAUGUUGUGAUGGAGUUCGAUGCUUCUCAAUUAUUUGCUCCAAUUCCUCACAGUUAAAUAUACCCAACCUGGAUAACUGUAGCAAAUUUCGAGCGAUAGUAGGUGAGAAGAUGUAUCUUAACCUUCUGUAAUCUUGAACCGUCAAUUGACAGAGAUUUUGAAAGUAUUCAACUUGGAUGGGAG
rnacentral:lncRNA from 1 species